rnacentral:lncRNA from 1 species
CCCAACCCCUCCCUUACCCACCAAAGCCCCUCCCCUCGCAACCCUAACCCCUCCCCUACCCACUCAACACCCUCCCAUUCCCACCCAAACCCCUCCCCUACCCACUCAACACCCUCUCCUACCCGCCCAAACCCCUCCUCUUACUGCAAAGUCUCAGAGACGAAUAGCACUGCCAGCACUGACUCAUUUGAGAUUGUAGAGAAACCGUCCCUGUUGAAAUUUAAGAACAAAAAGCCUUCAAAACUGCCUCAAAGAAGUAUGUCUCUAAUGACCCUCAACAAAGGAGAGGGUGACGGAAAGGGACACAAGAAGCCUUCCAAGAAGAACUGCAUUCAGUCCUGAGAUGAAGAGAGGAAGGACAGGAUCAGCUGGGAGAGACUGGGACAUUUGAAGUAAUUGCCAGUAUCAGAUGCAGUAUCAGAUGGAGUAUAGUAAUGACAUGCCAUGGCAGGAGUAUAGUGAUUAGAUGUCAUGGCAGGAGUAUAGUAAUUGCAUAUCAUGGCAGGAGUAUAGUGAUGACAUGUCAUGGCAGGAGUAUAGUAAUGACAUGCCAUGGCAGGAGUAUGGUGAUUAGAUGUCAUGGCAGGAGUAUAGUAAUUGCAUAUCAUGGCAGGAGUAUUGUAAUUACAUGCCAUGGCAGGAGUAUAGUAAUUGCAUAUCAUGGCAGGAGUGUAGUAAUGACAUGCCAUGGCAGGAGUAUAGUGAUUAGAUAUCAUUGGCAGGAGUAUAGUAAUUACAUGUGCUGCUCAUGUUAUGUACUACUGUAAUGUUCCUUAGUGAGACUUGGUGUGAGACUGUGUGGACCGCCACUGCCUUAUCAGUUAGAGUAGUGAGAGUCUUCAAUGUCAGACCCACUAUUCCUUUAAUAUGAGCCUAAUGUUGUUGUUUAGCAGGAGUGAUUUGAUGCCACAUACCAGUGAGUGUCUCCUGAGUCCUGCCCGUCUCAGAUGGCAUUCACCACCUGUGUCAGGGAAAUGCCAAUACAGACUUGAUCGGUCAGUCAUUCGAUGCUUGAAAACUGAUCUUAUGUUACUGCUCACAUGUCAUAAGAAAUCAACAUGUUGUAUUGCUCUUCCCUGUAUCACUGCCAUUGAAACGGCAGCUUUUAAACCUAAAUAAAUGGAUGUCGUUAAAAACACAUCUAUCCCAGGUAUAGAUGUAUUCUGAAUGUGUCUAUCCUUCAGGUUACUAUGGAGAAGGAAAAGUGAUCAGCUCUCUUCUCUCACACCAGGUAUCACCUUACCAAGUCCACUUUGUUAAAUUGUUAGUGGACUGUCCCUUAUCUCCACUGGAGUGUGUAGUGUCUGAAUAAUGGAUGUUGUUUUAACAGAUAAGACACCGAUCACGCACUUCUGCUGUUAACAUGCAACAAUACAUUGUCUCUAAACCAAUGUGACAUUAUAACCAUGUCACUGGUCCAUGGCUAUAUUUGUCAUCUUAAUAAAAAACGAAGCAAUAGGGACUAAGACAUAUUUUGCUUCUUUUUUAUGCAUAGCAAUUACAAAGAGCAAAGCACAUUUCCUCAUUGAAAUUAUAGUGUGACGUCUUGUAUAUAAAAAUGCCAAAGAUGUAUGAGACCACACGUACUUCAUGUAAUUGACUGACUUCCUAUCUCUGAUGUGUGUUGUUUUAUAUGAAAUCAUAAUAUUAAAAACAACUUUUGUA